GCCUCGCAAGAGGAGCGGCAGACGGGUGAGUAACGCGUGGGAAUCUACCGUACCCUACGGAAUAGCUCCGGGAAACUGGAAUUAAUACCGUAUACGCCCUUUGGGGGAAAGAUUUAUCGGGGUAUGAUGAGCCCGCGUUGGAUUAGCUAGUUGGUGGGGUAAAGGCCUACCAAGGCGACGAUCCAUAGCUGGUCUGAGAGGAUGAUCAGCCACAUUGGGACUGAGACACGGCCCAAACUCCUACGGGAGGCAGCAGUGGGGAAUAUUGGACAAUGGGCGCAAGCCUGAUCCAGCCAUGCCGCGUGAGUGAUGAAGGUCUUAGGAUUGUAAAGCUCUUUCACCGAUGAAGAUAAUGACGGUAGUCGGAGAAGAAGCCCCGGCUAACUUCGUGCCAGCAGCCGCGGUAAUACGAAGGGGGCUAGCGUUGUUCGGAAUUACUGGGCGUAAAGCGCACGUAGGCGGAUAAUUAAGUCAGGGGUGAAAUCCCGCAGCUCAACUGCGGAACUGCCUUUGAUACUGGUUAUCUUGAGUAUGGAAGAGGUAAGUGGAAUUGCGAGUGUAGAGGUGAAAUUCGUAGAUAUUCGCAGGAACACCAGUGGCGAA
rnacentral:rRNA from 1 species